rnacentral:tRNA from 1 species
GCCGGGAUAGCUCAGUUGGUAGAGCAGAGGACUGAAAAUCCUCGUGUCACCAGUUAAAU